UACAGAGGGUGCGAGCGUUAAUCGGAGUUACUGGGCGUAAAGGGCGCGUAGGUGGCGCUGUAAGUCAGGUGUGAAAUUUCGGAGCUUAACUCCGAAACUGCAUUUGAUACUGCGGUGCUUGAGGACUGGAGAGGAGACUGGAAUUUACGGUGUAGCAGUGAAAUGCGUAGAGAUCGUAAGGAAGACCAGUGGCGAAGGCGGGUCUCUGGACAGUUCCUGACGCUGAGGCAUGAAAGCGUGGGGAGCAAACAGG
rnacentral:rRNA from 1 species